CCUCGGCUCAACCGAGGAUUUGCGGGGUGGACUGCCUGUCUUGAGGAAGCCAGAGCCUGUCGGAACGUUCGGUGGACCGGUGAAAUGCGUUAGAUAUCGAACGGAACGCCGAAGGGGUAGCCAGGCAGCUGGGCCUUACCUGACGCUGAGGCACGAAAGCGUGGGGAUCAAACAGGAUUAGAUACCCUGGUAGUCCACGCCGUAAACGAUGUGCACUAGCUCGAUGCAGAUCUGACUCUGUGUCGGGCGCCGAGAAAUCAUUAAGUGCACCGCCUGGGGAGUACGGUCGCAAGGCUAAAACUCAAAGGAAUUGACGGGGGCUCACACAAGCGGUGGAGCAUGUUGCUUAAUUCGAAGCAACGCGAAGAACCUUACCUGGGUUUGACAUGCACGGAUUAGUCAUUGGAAACAGUGAUGACGCUCUUCGAGUGGAACGUGCACAGGUGCUGCAUGGCUGUCGUCAGCUCGUGCUGUGAAGUGUCGGGUUAAGUCCCUUAACGAGCGCAACCCUUAUCGCUAGUUGCCAGCGCAUUAUGGCGGGGACUCUAGCGAGACUGCCGGUGUCAAACCGGAGGAAGGUGGGGAUGACGUCAAGUCCUCAUGGCCUUUAUGCCCAGGGUGGCAAACGUGCUACAAUGGCGUGUACAGAGCGACGCGAUACCGUGAGGUGGAGCAAAUCGCAAAAAGCACGCCCCAGUUCGGAUAGCAGUCUGCAACUCGACUGCUUGAAGCCGGAAUCGCUAGUAAUCGCGGAUCAGCCAUGCCGCGGUGAAUACGUUCCUGAGCCUUGUACACACCGCCCGUCAAGUCAUGGAAGCCGGGAGUGCCCGAAGUCGCUCUAACUC
rnacentral:rRNA from 1 species